AUACAGAGGGUGCGAGCGUUAAUCGGAAUUACUGGGCGUAAAGCGCGCGUAGGCGGCUUGGUCAGUCGGAUGUGAAAGCCCCGGGCUCAACCUGGGAAUGGCAUUCGAUACUGCCAGGCUAGAGUAUGGGAGAGGGAAGUGGAAUUUCCGGUGUAGCGGUGAAAUGCGUAGAUAUCGGAAGGAACACCAGUGGCGAAGGCGACUUCCUGGCCCAAUACUGACGCUGAGGUGCGAAAGCGUGGGGAGCGAACAGGAUUAGAUACCCGGGUAGUCC
rnacentral:rRNA from 1 species